GAUCAGAAUGCUGCGGUGAAUACGUUCCCGGGUCUUGUACACACCGCCCGUCACACCAUGGGAGUCGGAAAUGCCCGAAGUCAGUGGCCCAACCGGAAGGAGGGAGCUGCCGAAGGCAGGUCCGGUGACUGGGGUGAAGUCGUAACAAGGUAAC
rnacentral:rRNA from 1 species